rnacentral:sRNA from 1 species
GUACAACCAAAUAGGCGCAGGGUGGGCGGUCAUUACCCCUACGAAAGGGGGUGAUGAUUAUGCGAGUAUUCGAAGCAUUAACCUUGAUGAUAUCUUUCGCAACAUUAGUUGUUUCUAUAAUCGCUGCUUCACAACGAAAAAAGUAGCCUGCCCUGACAAGUAAGCUACUUUUUUCAUGCUUACACUAUGACCGCCCACUUCGGCGGUGGUUGUACCAACCGGGUGUCCCCACACCCGGU